CUCCUUGUUACUUUGGUGAAUUUGUACACUGUGUUAUCCUUCAUUUGAGGUAUAUUAUAUUAUACAAAAUCUUUUUUCUUUUUCUUUCGUUCCAAUCUUCUUUACUCAUAAAUGGAGAUGUUAGGAUAGCAUUUUUUUUUACUAAGGAAACUGAUAUUUUGCAAUGUUUGUAAAAUAGUAUUUCCUCUGUUCCUAAUAGUUCGAUGUUUUGGAAUUUUCACACAUAUUAAGAAUUCAAUCAUUGUUUAAUCAUUUUAACAUUGUUUUUAAUCUUAAAUAUUUUUAAUAACUAUCAACCAAUAGUAGUCUAAGAAAGUUAAUAAUUUAUAAUCAUUACAUCUUGAAAUUUACAAUUUACUAUUAUAAGUCAAUAAAAAUAAAGAAAAAUGCUAGAAAAUCAAUCUUUGUGGAACAAAUAAUAAAAGAUAGAACAUCAAUCUUUUAGUAACAUAGGUAGUACUACUUAAGAUAUGAAUAUUAUUACAUUUUAUAAAAAAGAGUGUAUUGGUCACGUCAUGACUCCCCUAUCCAUUGAAACAUCUCUUGCUGCUUCCACUUCAUUUCAACACUUAUCCCUUUUUUCAACAAUCUAUAAUUGUACGCGUUUUUUUUUAUUAUUAUUUACAAAACGUAACAAUUAGCCGAGAUAAUUAGUAGACGGGGAUAUAUAUUUAAGUGAAAAACAUUUAUAUCCGCAACAUGAAAACAAACUUCUCUUCCAAUCAUUUUCAAUACAAGUGUAUGUUAGUGUGUUCCAUGUGAUAAGAUGUAGAAAUUAGAAGAAAGUAGAAGAAUAUGAAAGUGUUGUGUUAAACAAGCAAGAGAAACGCCUCUACUGACAUGGAGACCCCAUACCAUCUUUUAUUUUUUUGGUAUAAAAAUAGGGUCUAGAUUCAACCUCUACUUCCACUUCCAGCCGUUGAUCUUUUUACUUUAUUUUGAUCAAACCAAAGUCUGAGUGAGGUCCGCGGAACCGGCGUUUGACGGAUGAGUAGACCGGCGGCGAACGGCAGCCGUCAGAUGUGGGGGGAAUCACGCAGAGACUGAAUCUCUUGAGAAAACGACACGUGUCUAAGGAUUUGGACUCCACAGGGAAGAGCACCAAAAAGUCUAUAGUAGAAGUAGUAGUGGAUGUGGUGUGUGAGUCGGACCUGAGGAGAGAAACCGAAUAAUAUUUGGUGUGAUGUGUUCUUCUUCUUCUUCUUUUUGUGUUGGACGGUAGAGAUUAGUCAUCUUGUGGGCUCUACCUGGUUCGCCUUAUUUCUCUCUCCCCGUAAGAAACGCAUCCGCUCCUUCUCUUCUCUUCUCAGCCGUCCGAUCUCGAGAGUGAGAGCCGACCAUCUUCUUCUAUUGCGAUCCACCUCAGCAUCUACCCCUAGGUUUUGUAUUAAUACCUUUUUUUUUGUAUUUAUGUAAACGAACACACACAUUUUUCAUUUUCCUUUAACGCCAAGAAUUUUCACAAAUGCUCUUCGAGUGUGCCCAAUAUAACCCCCCCCCCCCCCCCACGCAAUUUAUAUAGUACUAUAGUUUGCUAUAUUCACAAUUCUCCUUUGAAUAUAUGAUCGAUAUCAUUAGUAUAAACACAUAAUAAACUAAUGACUCUAUUUUCUCCAUAUGCGACAUAGUUGCAUGCAAAUGCUAUUCAUAAGUCACUUUCUGAUUAAACGUGACAUAUAUUCCUUGAAUUCGAUCGAUUAUAAAAUUUCAAUUUAAUAUAACAUGACCAUGUGUAUGUUUUAAAAAAAUCCGGUGCUAUAUCAUCCAUGAUCCAUGCAUCGCAAUGCUCAGAAAACUAUAUCAUUAUGAGUUAUUUUAUUUAAUUUGGUCGUCCGAUUAGAUCUCUACUAGCUAGGGGACACAUUAGUAUUGAGCAUCAUGCAUGCUGGUGGAAUAAAAUUUU
rnacentral:lncRNA from 1 species